rnacentral:tRNA from 1 species
GGUACAGUAGUUAAGAAGCAACUUGGAAUACUGAUAUUCCAUAUCAGAGUGCCUGGGUUCAAGUCCCAGCUCCUCUG